rnacentral:tRNA from 3 species
GUGGGUGUGGCCUAGUUGGUUAGGGCGCAAGAUUGUGGCUCUUGAGGUCGUCGGUUCGAAUCCGAUCACCCACCCCA